UCUCGAUAGCGUAAAAGUUAACUCAAAUUUCUAUGGAGUUGGAACGUUUGCCUACGUUUGCCGCUAGGGGCGCUGUUCUAAAUACAUAUAAAUUUAAGUUAACUUUUACGCUAUCGA
rnacentral:pre_miRNA from 9 species